GCGUAAAGAGCUCGUAGGUGGUUUGUCGCGUUGUUCGUGAAAUCUCACGGCUUAACUGUGAGCGUGCGGGCGAUACGGGCAGACUUGAGUACUGCAGGGGAGACUGGAAUUCCUGGUGUAGCGGUGGAAUGCGCAGAUAUCAGGAGGAACACCGGUGGCGAAGGCGGGUCUCUGGGCAGUAACUGACGCUGAGGAGCGAAAGCGUGGGGAGCGAACAGGAUUAGAUACCCUGGUAGUCCACGCCGUAAACGGUGGGUACUAAGUGUGGGUUUCCUUCCUUGGGAUCCGUGCCGUAGCUAACGCAUUAAGUACCCCGCCUGGGGAGUACGGCCGCAAGGCUAAAACUCAAAGAAAUUGACGGGGGCCCGCACAAGCGGCGGAGCAUGUGGAUUAAUUCGAUGCAACGCGAAGAACCUUACCUGGGUUUGACAUGCACAGGACGCCGGCAGAGAUGUCGGUUCCCUUGUGGCCUGUGUGCAGGUGGUGCAUGGCUGUCGUCAGCUCGUGUCGUGAGAUGUUGGGUUAAGUCCCGCAACGAGCGCAACCCUUGUCUCAUGUUGCCAGCGGGUAAUGCCGGGGACUCGUGAGAGACUGCCGGGGUCAACUCGGAGGAAGGUGGGGAUGACGUCAAGUCAUCAUGCCCCUUAUGUCCAGGGCUUCACACAUGCUACAAUGGCCGGUACAAAGGGCUGCGAUGCCGCGAGGUUAAGCGAAUCCUUUUAAAGCCGGUCUCAGUUCGGAUCGGGGUCUGCAACUCGACCCCGUGAAGUCGGAGUCGCUAGU
rnacentral:rRNA from 1 species